UCUUUAUUCAGAUUGAGGGAAUGCAGGUUGUCAGAGACCAGCUGGACUUCUCUGUUCUCAGCUCUGAAGUCCAAACCAACCCAUCUGACAAAGCUGGACCUGAGCAGAACCAUCCUGGAAGGUUCUGGAGUGAAGGAGCUCUGUGGUUUUCUACAGACUGAAGGCUGCAGACUGGAGACAUUGAUAUUGGAGGGCUGCAGGUUGUCAAAGAUCAGCUGUGAUUAUUUGACCUCAACUCUGAAGUCCAACCCGACCCGUCUGACAAAACUGGACCUGGGAUUGAACGACCUGAAUUAUCCAGAUGUUCAGCAGCUGGAGGAUCUUGUAAAGACUUUAAUGUUCUGAUCUCUGUGAAGUAGAAAAUGGUCUCAGU